GAACGCCCACAACCAUGGUUUUCAAAUAUCAGUAUUGAUGAUAUUCAUUCUGGAGAUUUCUUAGCUCUAUCAAAAAUCCGUGGGCGGUGGGGUGGUUUUGAGACUUUAGAGAAGUGGGUCACUGGAGCUUAUGCUGGUCAUACUGCCGUCUUCCUAAAGGAUUCCGAAGGAAAGCUUUGGGUUGGAGAGUCGGGACAUGAAAAUGAAAAGGGAGAAGAUAUUAUUGCUGUGCUUCCGUGGAAUGAGUGGUGGGAUUUUGAGCUGACCAAAGAUGACUCAAAUCCUCAAAUUGCAAUCCUUCCUCUGCAUCCAGAUAUUCGAGCAAAAUUUAAUGAAACUGCAGCUUG
rnacentral:misc_RNA from 1 species